GACGAACGCUGGCGGCGUGCUUAACACAUGCAAGUCGAACGGAAAGGCCCUGCUUUUGUGGGGUGCUCGAGUGGCGAACGGGUGAGUAACACGUGAGUAACCUGCCCUUGACUUUGGGAUAACUUCAGGAAACUGGGGCUAAUACCGGAUAGGAGCUCCUGCUGCAUGGUGGGGGUUGGAAAGUUUCGGCGGUUGGGGUUGGACUCGCGACUUAUCAGCUUGUUGGUGGGGUAGUGGCUUACCAAGGCUUUGACGGGUAGCCGGCCUGAGAGGGUGACCGGCGACAUUGGGACUGAGAUACGGCCCAGACUCCUACGUGAGACAGCAGUGGGGAAUAUUGCACAAUGGGCGGAAGCCUGAUACGGCAACGCCGCGUGCGUGAUGACGGCCUUCGGGGUGUAAACCGCUUUCGCCUGUGACGAAGCGUGAGUGACGGUAAUGGGUAAAGAAGCACCGGCUAACUACGUG
rnacentral:rRNA from 1 species